GAUGAACGCUGGCGGCGUGCCUAAUACAUGUAAGUCGAGCGAACAGACGAGGAGCUUGCUCCUCUGACGUUAGCGGCGGACGGGUGAGUAACACGUGGAUAACCUACCUAUAAGACUGGGAUAACUUCGGGAAACCGGCGCUAAUACCGGAUAAUAUAUUGAACCGCAUGGUCCAAUAGUGAAAGACGGUUUUGCUGUCACUUAUAGAUGGAUCCGCGCCGCAUUAGCUAGUUGGUAAGGUAACGGCUUACCAAGGCAACGAUGCGUAGCCGACCUGAGAGGGUGAUCGGCCACACUGGAACUGAGACACGGUCCAGACUCCUACGGGAGGCAGCAGCAGGGAAUCUUCCGCAAUGGGCGAAAGCCUGACGGAGCACCGCCGCGUGAGUCAUGAAGGUCUUCGGAUCGUAAAACUCUGUUAUUAGGGAAGACCAAAUGUGUAAGUACCUAUGCACGUCUUGACGGUACCUAAUCAGAAAGCCACGGCUAACUACGUG
rnacentral:rRNA from 1 species